GGGUCGCCCGGCGACACUGACGCGCAGCCUGCAACCAGAAAAGUGGCAAGAAUAAUACCAACAGAGUAUUGACCUCGGUGAAAGAAUAGUGUACCCGCCCAGAAGGACCCCUUCUUAUCAGUUGGGUUCAAAUUCAUAAGAAAACAUCUAGCAGCUAUGCUAUAGGAAGCAGAGGCUGCAUUUCGGAGAAAACCGCAAAUGAGCUCCUGAACCACAAACAGCUACAGUUCCUGCCGUCAGAGUCAACCGUUAUAAGAAGUUAUAAAAGACUUCUAUCUAUUUCUACCACUGGGCUGAUAGACCACCUGCACCUCGGAUCUGAACGACACAGACAGCUAUAUCCCCAUUUGCAUCCACUCUGGCCAAUCAGGCUCCACAAUGACCCAUCAAAACACAGACCGCUGGCCAGUCAGGACAAUGCUAUUUUUGGUCCACCAGACUGUGCUAAUUUGGGUACCUCAUUUACCUUAAGAUGGACCAGCCACUGGGGUGGGAACUUGCUCCUUAAAAGGCACACUUUCUGAUCCUCUGGAGACUGUUUCCCUGUUUACAAACUGCUCACCUGAAGAAAGUCUCUCCUUUUCCCCAACCCCAUAUUGGGAACUCCUGUUGGCCUUAGAUUGGUGGCAGCUAACUUUUGUUGGCAAGAGAUUGACUACCAGCAUGACAGCGAUGAGGAGCUGGGCUGAUCCACUUCCUAGUGCACCUGAUGAAAAUUAUUAUAACACAAGCCAACAACAAACAACCAUUUAAAGUUUUGGAAAUCAUCCUAAGAGAAAA